rnacentral:lncRNA from 1 species
UGCGCUUGCGGAUUAAUUCCUGAUUGCAUUACCAAAUAUCAACAAGCAUUUAUGGCGCCGUUGCCGGGGAGAAAGAUGGUUUGCUGAGAUAACCUUGAGUCUUACUACUAGCUUGUAUUUAUACUUUUAUCUUUUCUUAUCUUUUUAUAUUCUUUAUUUUCUUUACUCUUACCUUAUGGAAAACCAAGAUUCUAAAUCAAUCUAUCAAUUUGCAACACCUUCGGAAACUGGCCUUUUACCAUGGG